GAAUAAAGAAACUAUAAUUCAAAACUAAAAAAUAAUUGAAAUUGAUUUAAAAAAGGGAGAAGGAGAGUCUCCAAAAGCAACUGAGAAGGAAUAGAAAGAUCUUUAGGAAGAGAUCAAGGGGAGAAGUACGCCAAAUCUGGACUUACUGAGAAGGAUCAGUAAGUUUAUAGGGAGUAGAGCAUUCUUUAGUUGCAACUAAUAUUUAGCUUUAAAUUCAUGGUGAUGAUGUUGUUGUGAAAAAAAAAUCAUUCAUAUUUGGAAAAUCCAAUUCAAUGAGCUUUAUAGAGCAUAUCCUUAGCUUGUACCAAGGUCUGAGACAUACAGACACUAAUAGGCACAAUCUCAGUCUAAUAAUUUUCUAGUUUAGCCAGGAAGAUAUGUUAGCAUUGAAACAACUAAGUUAGAGUGAGAAUGAGAUAGUCCCUAGGAUAAGUGUGCAAUCAGACAAGGGAGGGGAAAAUCCCCACUGGAAACUAAGAGGAAAUGCUUUUGGAUGCAAAUAAAGAGCAUCUUGAAGAAUGACCACAAUUUCAGUGGUCAGUUGAAAUGGAAAGCACAAAACUCUUCCAAUUCCUGAGGUGCCUGGAUGUAUGUAGAUUUGGGUUGCAGACUAAUGACAAAUCCAGCAAGGUCUUAAAUACUUCCAAGGAAUUUUGUCAGAAAUUAAAAGGAAAAUGAUGGAUAAUCUAAGAGUUGAGAAAAAAUGAAACCUAAAAAUUAUUGCAAUAAUAUUUGCUGAUAUAACUUCUGCCUGGUCAUGGCAAGCAUGACUGCAAAUGUUCAAGAUUCAGAGUCAGAGGGGAAAUAAGAACUAAGACAAUACUGAAUGUUUCAGUGGAUAUUUAGAAUCUCUUUAAUUAGAUGAAUGUCAUUGUGCAGGUGGUCUACUGGAAGAAGGGAAAUAAAAGUUUGUUAAUACAGACAUCUGUGAGGAACACUGACUGUUCUUUGAGGGAGUAACCUGGAAAAUUUGAAAAUGAAACCCCUCCCAGUAGCCUGGUCUCGGCUCUAUGAAGACUGAUUUACCAACAUGUACAGUGGACCUCUGAGGAAAGAAGCAGCCAUUUCAGAGCCCUUAAUGUGAAUGCAUAGGCUGUGAUUAUUAGGAAGUGUUAAAAGCACUGGCUGGCAGCUUAGAUAAACAAGAAUUUGAACCAUCACAAAUAACCAGGGGGAAGUGGCAUUUGUUAGUAUUCUGGAAGAUGUUAAAUCCAUAGCAAAUGAAAGUCUUAGCAUUGACUGUUUCAGGCAACUUAGCCGUAACCUCAAUGCUAAAAAACAGAACACAUAGAGGAGCGUUACCAAUAUUUAUCAAGCUUCCCCUUUAUGUCUGACAUUUUCAAGUGGAUUGACUCAUUUUAUCAUAUGAAGUAGUUGUAUUAAAGCAUUCUUCAGCCCCACCCCGCAAAAAAAAAAAAAAAA
rnacentral:lncRNA from 1 species